AUGAACGCUGGCGGCGUGCCUAAUACAUGCAAGUCGAGCGAACGGACGAGAAGCUUGCUUCUCUGAUGUUAGCGGCGGACGGGUGAGUAACACGUGGAUAACCUACCUAUAAGACUGGGAUAACUUCGGGAAACCGGAGCUAAUACCGGAUAAUAUUUUGAACCGCCUGGUUCAAAAGUGAAAGACGGUCUUGCUGUCACUUAUAGAUGGAUCCGCGCUGCAAUAGCUAGUUGGUAAGGUAACGGCUUACCAAGGCAACGAUGCAUAGCCGACCUGAGAGGGUGAUCGGCCACACUGGAACUGAGACACGGUCCAGACUCCUACGGGAGGCAGCAGUAGGGAAUCUUCCGCAAUGGGCGAAAGCCUGACGGAGCAACGCCGCGUGAGUGAUGAAGGUCUUCGGAUCGUAAAACUCUGUUAUUAGGGAAGAACAUAUGUGUAAGUAACUGUGCACAUCUUGACGGUACCUAAUCAGAAAGCCACGGCUAACUACGUG
rnacentral:rRNA from 1 species